GGCCGGUUAGCUCAGUCAGUAGAGCAUAGCGCUAACAACGCUAAGGUCGUGGGUUCGAUUCCCGUUCGGUCC
rnacentral:tRNA from 1 species